rnacentral:rRNA from 1 species
UGGAAAGGCGCGCGAUACAGGGUGACAGCCCCGUACACAAAAAUGCACAUGCUGUGAGCUCGAUGAGUAGGGCGGGACACGUGGUAUCCUGUCUGAAUAUGGGGGGACCAUCCUCCAAGGCUAAAUACUCCUGACUGACCGAUAGUGAACCAGUACCGUGAGGGAAAGGCGAAAAGAACCCCGGCGAGGGGAGUGAAAAAGAACCUGAAACCGUGUACGUACAAGCAGUGGGAGCACGCUUAGGCGUGUGACUGCGUACCUUUUGUAUAAUGGGUCAGCGACUUAUAUUCUGUAGCAAGGUUAACCGAAUAGGGGAGCCGAAGGGAAACCGAGUCUUAACUGGGCGUUAAGUUGCAGGGUAUAGACCCGAAACCCGGUGAUCUAGCCAUGGGCAGGUUGAAGGUUGGGUAACACUAACUGGAGGACCGAACCGACUAAUGUUGAAAAAUUAGCGGAUGACUUGUGGCUGGGGGUGAAAGGCCAAUCAAACCGGGAGAUAGCUGGUUCUCCCCGAAAGCUAUUUAGGUAGCGCCUCGUGAAUUCAUCUCCGGGGGUAGAGCACUGUUUCGGCAAGGGGGUCAUCCCGACUUACCAACCCGAUGCAAACUGCGAAUACCGGAGAAUGUUAUCACGGGAGACACACGGCGGGUGCUAACGUCCGUCGUGAAGAGGGAAACAACCCAGACCGCCAGCUAAGGUCCCAAAGUCAUGGUUAAGUGGGAAACGAUGUGGGAAGGCCCAGACAGCCAGGAUGUUGGCUUAGAAGCAGCCAUCAUUUAAAGAAAGCGUAAUAGCUCACUGGUCGAGUCGGCCUGCGCGGAAGAUGUAACGGGGCUAAACCAUGCACCGAAGCUGCGGCAGCGACGCUUAUGCGUUGUUGGGUAGGGGAGCGUUCUGUAAGCCUGUGAAGGUGUACUGUGAGG